rnacentral:rRNA from 1 species
UACGUAGGUGGCAAGCGUUGUCCGGAUUUAUUGGGUUCAAAGGGUGCGUAGGCGGCUUUAUAAGUCAGUGGUGAAAUAUGGCAGCUUAACUGUCAAGGUGCCAUUGAUACUGCAGAGCUUGAGUACAGAUGAGGUAGGCGGAAUUGACGGUGUAGCGGUGAAAUGCUUAGAUAUCGUCAAGAACACCUAUAGCGAAGGCAGCUUACUAAGCUGUAACUGACGCUGAGGCACGAAAGUGUGGGGAUCAAACAGG